UUGUCGAUGAAGCUUCAAUUCACUCGAUUUAGUCGUUGAUUUCAAAUAGUUCUUGGUGAAUUCUUCUAUAUCUCUUCUCUUCUUCAACAGUUUCGUCUAUUUUAACCUAAUUUUUUGUAUUCGUUUAAGAUUGGAGAUGAAGGAAGCAGAAAAAUCCAAAAAAACAAGCCGAAAAAGCUAGGAACGAAGAAGUGUAAGGAAAAUUAUGAAAAAGAAGAUGAAAUUGUGUAAAAACGGAAGAAAAACACAUAUCACAUUCAGAAGAUCGCGAAGAAUCUUAUAGAAAAUUCAAAUGUCGGAAAUGAGAUCAAACGCGCCCAAACAACAGAGUUAUAUCGCACUGGUAGUUCUAUUGCCGAACAAGCACUUGUGAAUGACGUCCUUGUAAAUGUUGGUUUGAGCAAAUGAAGAGAUUGAGGCUUGAGUAUUGUGGCGAGAUAUUGGCACACAAGAAAAAUGAUGAACAUCAUGUUAUGGUUCCGAGUUAAGGAAAUGGGAAACAAAGAAUCAAAUUUAACGGGAUCAUAAUGUCUUUGUAACAUCAAAUGUUGAAUUUCUUGUAAAUACUUUAUGUUGAAUUCGUAAAAUUAGUAAACCAUCAAUUUAUAUUGGAUGGUUUUGAUCAACUUGUAAUAGAUUCAUUUGCUUGAAGUUUAAUUUGACUAAUAGACUUGUAAUGUGAUA